AGCGAACGCUGGCGGUAGGCCUAACACAUGCAAGUCGAACGGCAGCACCGUAAGAGCUUGCUCUUACGGGUGGCGAGUGGCGGACGGGUGAGGAAAAUAUCGGAAUCUACUUUUUCGUGGGGGAUAACGUAGGGAAACUUACGCUCAUACCGCAUACGACCUACGGGUGAAAGCAGGGGAUCUUCGGACCUUGUGCGAUUGAACGAGCCGAUGUCGGAUUAGCUAGUUGGCGGGGUAAAGGCCCACCAAGGCGCCGAUCCGUAGCUGGUCUGAGAGGAUGAUCAGCCACACUGGAACUGAGACACGGUCCAGACUCCUACGAGAGGCAGCAGUGGGGAAUAUUGGACAAUGGUCGCAAGCCUGAUCCAGCCAUACCGCGUGGGUGAAGAAGGCCUUCGGGUUGUAAAGCCCUUUUGUUGGGAGAGAAAAGCAGCAGGUUAAUACCCCGCUGUUCUGACGGUACCCAAAGAAUAAGCACCGGCUAACUUCGUG
rnacentral:rRNA from 1 species